rnacentral:hammerhead_ribozyme from 1 species
AUCCAGCUGACGAGUCCCAAAUAAGAUGUAACAUGCGUCCUGAAU